AGGACGAACGCUGGCGGCGUGCUUAACACAUGCAAGUCGAACGGUAAGGCCCCUUCGGGGGUACACGAGUGGCGAACGGGUGAGUAACACGUGGGUAAUCUGCCCUCGCACUUCGGGAUAAGCCUAGGGAAACUGGGUCUAAUACCGGAUAUGAACUCCUGCCGACAUUGGUGGGGGUUGGAAAGUUUUUCGGUGCAGGAUGAGCCCGCGGCCUAUCAGCUUGUUGGUGGGUAAUGGCCUACCAAGGCGACGACGGGUAGCCGGCCUGAGAGGGUGAUCGGCCACACUGGGACUGAGACACGGCCCAGACUCCUACGGGAGGCAGCAGUGGGGAAUAUUGCACAAUGGGCGAAAGCCUGAUGCAGCGACGCCGCGUGGGGAUGACGGUCUUCGGAGUUGUAAAACCCCUUUCAGUUAGGGACGAAGCGACAAGUGACGGUACCUGACAGAAGAAGCACGGCUAACACGU
rnacentral:rRNA from 1 species